CCCCGCAGGGGAGCGGCAGACGGGUGAGUAACGCGUGGGAACAUACCCUUUGGUUCGGAAUAACUCAGGGAAACUUGAGCUAAUACCGGAUACGUCCNNAAGGAGAAAGAUUUAUNNNNAAAGGAUUGGCCCGCGUCCGAUUAGCUAGUUGGUGAGGUAACGGCUCACCAAGGCUACGAUCGGUAGCUGGUCUGAGAGGAUGAUCAGCCACAUUGGGACUGAGACACGGCCCAAACUCCUACGGGAGGCAGCAGUGGGGAAUAUUGGACAAUGGGCGCAAGCCUGAUCCAGCCAUGCCGCGUGAGUGAUGAAGGCCUUAGGGUUGUAAAGCUCUUUUGUCCGGGAAGAUAAUGACUGUACCGGAAGAAUAAGCCCCGGCUAACUUCGUGCCAGCAGCCGCGGUAAUACGAAGGGGGCUAGCGUUGUUCGGAAUCACUGGGCGUAAAGCGCACGUAGGCGGACCGUUAAGUCGGAGGUGAAAGCCUGGGGCUCAACCCCAGAACUGCCUUCGAUACUGGCGGUCUUGAGUAUGGUAGAGGUUGGUGGAACUCCGAGUGU
rnacentral:rRNA from 1 species